ACGAACGCUGGCGGCAGGCUUAACACAUGCAAGUCGAGCGCCCCGCAAGGGGAGCGGCAGACGGGUGAGUAACGCGUGGGAAUCUACCUAGCUCUACGGAAUAGCUCCGGGAAACUGGAAUUAAUACCGUAUACGUCCUUCGGGAGAAAGAUUUAUCGGAGUUAGAUGAGCCCGCGUUGGAUUAGCUAGUUGGUGGGGUAAUGGCCUACCAAGGCGACGAUCCAUAGCUGGUCUGAGAGGAUGAUCAGCCACACUGGGACUGAGACACGGCCCAGACUCCUACGGGAGGCAGCAGUGGGGAAUAUUGGACAAUGGGCGAAAGCCUGAUCCAGCCAUGCCGCGUGAGUGAUGAAGGCCCUAGGGUUGUAAAGCUCUUUCAACGGUGAAGAUAAUGACGGUAACCGUAGAAGAAGCCCCGGCUAACUUCGU
rnacentral:rRNA from 1 species